GCCAAUCUCAUUCGGAUUGUAGGCUGCAACUCGCCUACAUGAAGUUGGAAUCGCUAGUAAUCGCGAAUCAGAAUGUCGCGGUGAAUACGUUCCCGGGUCUUGUACACACCGCCCGUCACACCACGAGAGUUUACAACACCCGAAGUCAGUGGCCUAACCGUAAGGAGGGAGCUGCCUAAGGUGGGGUAGAUGAUUGGGGUGAAGUCGUAACAAGGUAUC
rnacentral:rRNA from 1 species